UGACCAGACUGUUUCGGGCAUGAC
rnacentral:siRNA from 1 species